ACACGCUGUGAGCUGCAGUCCGAGGACACGCUGCGCUUCAUAGAGCCGCCUGUGGCUGCUGAUAAACGCCCUGGGAGCAGCCGCAGUCUGUCGGGGAAAGGGAGCACCCCACUGGCAUAAUGGACCUGUUUUACUCACAGGAAAGGGAAAGUCUUCGCUUCUCUGCCUCACCCAAGCUCUCCUUACUGAAGAAUCCAACAUAAGCUCCAUGCUAUUAUGUCAAAGACAGAUUAUCCAUUUUGAUUACAACACCGGUAGAGAAUUGGAAGUGUUGGGUACUGUUGAAACUGUUUUUCUAGUUUUUCUGGAAAAAUAAAAUGCUUCAACUCCUCCA